GGUCUCCCGUGUGCGGCACAGUGCAGUGGAAAAAGGGGAAGAAGAAGAUGGGAUAGAGAGGAUGACAAGUGGGGCCUUAAUUGGGGGGCAACAAUGGCAAUCCACACUGAAAUCGAUCUUUUUUGGAGCUGAGAGCACCCAUCUAGCCAAACACCUCAUUUUUGUUCUGGAGUUUUGGAGCGGAGCUGGCUCCAUGUGG
rnacentral:lncRNA from 1 species